rnacentral:sRNA from 1 species
CCAAAUCAAACGCUGAAUUCCCUUAAGUGGGAACCGGGGGACCCAAGCGAAACUGCCACAUUGGUUUCAUGGGGUGAAUCCUUCUGCUUACUAAAAAGCGGCUAGGUAGGGCAAACUCUCAAGCCCGAAUCCGACAGCUAACCUCGUAAGCGUAUUGAGAGAGAACCA